UGUAUGAGUUGUGWUUGGGWUGUUUUUGCUGGCUGGCUCCAUGCUUAUGCAUCGAACGGUUGGCAUGCGAUCUCGUUUCAAGUAUUCGUCGCUCUUAUUUGCAAUGGUGCGUGAUUGCGGUUCCUGUGUUGCCUACCUCUUGAAUGGUAUUCGUGUUGCUUGUYGGAUUUUGUCCAUCCAGUUCUCCUCGCGGGGUUCUGGAGGAUUUCAAAGCAAUACAUAUGUUCCACUUUAGUUGUUUGUUAUUGAAGCAAUUGUGGUGCAUAUGUACUUGCUGCUCUUUCGGAUGCGGUGCAUGAGAUGAAACAUGGGAAAUUUUCCCAUUGAGUCCCYUUAAAUCUUGGUUGCCUUGAAUGACACUUGCCUUUGUGCUUGCUUGCUCUCCAUUCGUGGUUGCAUGCAGGCAUGGAUGAGCAAAGUUGUUAAUGGAUG
rnacentral:misc_RNA from 1 species